GGCCAGACUCCUACGGGCGGCAGCAGUGGGGCCUCUUGCACAAUGGGCGCCAGCCUGAUGCAGCAACGCCGCGUGAAGGAAGAAGGCCUUCGGGUCGUAAACUUCUGUCCUUGGGGAAGAAGAACUGACGGUCCCCAAGGAGGACGCCCCGGCUAACUACGUGCCAGCAGCCGCGGUAAUACGUCGGGGGCAAGCGUGCUCCGGAAUUAUUGGGCGUAAAGAGGACGGAGGUGGCAACCUAAGCGCAGGGUGGAAGGCAAUGGCGCAACCAUGGUGCGCCCGGCGAACGGGGAGGCUGGAGGGCAGGAGAGGAAAGCGGAAGGCCUAGGGGAGCGGUGAAAGGCGGAGAUAUGAGGAGGAACACCAGGGGCGAAGGCGGCGUUCGGGACGGUAACUGACACUGAGGGACGAAAGCGGGGGGAGCAAACAGGAGUAGAGACCCGCGUA
rnacentral:rRNA from 1 species